rnacentral:rRNA from 1 species
UGGGGAAUUUUGGACAAUGGGCGAAAGCCUGAUCCAGCAAUGCCGCGUGUGUGAAGAAGGCCUUCGGGUUGUAAAGCACUUUUGUCCGGAAAGAAAUCCUUGGCUCUAAUACAGUCGGGGGAUGACGGUACCGGAAGAAUAAGCACCGGCUAACUACGUGCCAGCAGCCGCGGUAAUACGUAGGAUGCAAGCGUUAAUCGGAAUUACUGGGCGUAAAGCGUGCGCAGGCGGUUUGCUAAGACCGAUGUGAAAUCCCCGGGCUCAACCUGGGAACUGCAUUGGUGACUGGCAGGCUAGAGUAUGGCAGAGGGGGGUAGAAUUCCACGUGUAGCAGUGAAAUGCGUAGAGAUGUGGAGGAAUACCGAUGGCGAAGGCAGCCCCCUGGGCCAAUACUGACGCUCAUGCACGAAAAGCGUGGGGGAGCAAAACAGGAUUAGAUACCCUGGUAGUCCACGCCCUAAAACGAUGUCAACUAGUUGUUGGGGAUUCAUUUCCUUAGUAACGUAGCUAACGCGUGAAGUUGACCGCCUGGGGAGUACGGUC